rnacentral:rRNA from 1 species
GUACACUCCUGCGGGAGGCAGCAGUGGGGAAUUUUGGACAAUGGGCGAAAGCCUGAUCCAGCAAUGCCGCGUGUGUGAAGAAGGCCUUCGGGUUGUAAAGCACUUUUGUCCGGAAAGGAAUCCUUGGCUCUAAUACAGUCGGGGGAUGACGGUACCGGAAGAAUAAGCACCGGCUAACUACGUGCCAGCAGCCGCGGUAAUACGUAGGGUGCGAGCGUUAAUCGGAAUUACUGGGCGUAAAGCGUGCGCAGGCGGUUUGCUAAGACCGAUGUGAAAUCCCCGGGCUCAACCUGGGAACUGCAUUGGUGACUGGCAGGCUAGAGUAUAGCAGAGGGGGGUAGAAUUCCACGUGUAGCAGUGAAAUGCGUAGAGAUGUGGAGGAAUACCGAUGGCGAAGGCAGCCCCCUGGGCCAAUACUGACGCUCAUGCACGAAAGCGUGGGGAGCAAACAGGAUUAGAAACCCUAGUAGUCCCAUGAU